UGGGGAAUCUUGGACAAUGGUGGCAACCCUGAUCCAGCCAUGCCGCGUGAGCGAUGAAGGCCUUAGGGUUGUAAAGCUCUUUCACCGGUGAAGAUAAUGACGGUAGCCGGAGAAGAAGCCCCGGCUAACUCCGUGCCAGCAGCCGCGGUAAUACGGAGGGGGCUAGCGUUGUUCGGAAUUACUGGGCGUAAAGCGCGCGUAGGCGGGCUGUUAAGUCGGGGGUGAAAUCCCGGGGCUCAACCCCGGAACUGCCCUCGAUACUGGCAGCCUAGAGGAUGAGAGGGGCGAGUGGAAUGCCGAGUGUAGAGGUGAAAGUCGUAGAUAUUCGGAGGAACACCAGUGGCGAAGGCGGCUCGCUGGCUCAUUUCUGACGCUGAGGUGCGAAAGCGUGGGGGGCAAACAGGAUUAGAUACCCCUGUAGUCC
rnacentral:rRNA from 1 species